CAGGCUGUGAUGAUUGGCGCAGGGGUACGGACCUCAGCUGAGUCAUGGGAGCUGACUGCGAGUGUUUCUUCUCUGACCUGCAUGUGGCAGGACGAGCAGGAGCACUCGUAGGAGACUGCCGCAAUCUGAGCCUA